rnacentral:rRNA from 1 species
GACGAACGCUGGCGGCGUGCUUAACACAUGCAAGUCGAACGCUGAAGCUCAGCUUUUGUUGGGUGGAUGAGUGGCGAACGGGUGAGUAACACGUGAGUAACCUGCCUCCUUCUUUGGGAUAACGCCCGGAAACGGGUGCUAAUACUGGAUAUUCACUGGUCUUCGCAUGGGGGUGGGUGGAAAGGGUUUUUCUGGUGGGGGAUGGGCUCGCGGCCUAUCAGCUUGUUGGUGGGGUGAUGGCCUACCAAGGCUUUGACGGGUAGCCGGCCUGAGAGGGUGACCGGUAACAUUGGGACUGAGAUACGGCCCAGACUCCUACGGGAGGCAGCAGUGGGGAAUAUUGCACAAUGGGCGCAAGCCUGAUGCAGCGACGCCGCGUGAGGGAUGGAGGCCUUCGGGUUGUGAACCUCUUUCGCUAAUGGUCAAGCCGCAACAAUGGUUGUGGUGAGGGUAGUGGGUAAAGAAGCGCCGGCUAACUACGUG